rnacentral:rRNA from 1 species
AUUGAACGCUGGCGGCAGGCUUAACACAUGCAAGUCGAGCGGGGUGAUGGUGCUUGCACUAUAACUUAGCGGCGGACGGGUGAGUAAUGCUUAGGAAUCUGCCUAUUAGUGGGGGACAACAUCUCGAAAGGGACGCUAAUACCGCAUACGUCCUACGGGAGAAAGCAGGGGAUCACUUGUGACCUUGCGCUAAUAGAUGAGCUUAAGUCGGAUUAGCUAGUUGGUGGGGUAAAGGCCUACCAAGGCGACGAUCUGUAGCGGGUCUGAGAGGAUGAUCCGCCACACUGGGACUGAGACACGGCCCAGACUCCUACGGGAGGCAGCAGUGGGGAAUAUUGGACAAUGGGGGGAACCCUGAUCCAGCCAUGCCGCGUGUGUGAAGAAGGCCUUAUGGUUGUAAAGCACUUUAAGCGAGGAGGAGGCUCUUUUGGUUAAUACCCAAGAUGAGUGGACGUUACUCGCAGAAUAAGCACCGGCUAACUCUGUGCCAGCCGCCGCGGUAA